rnacentral:rRNA from 1 species
CCCAAGUACCCACCCUGCAGCCUAAGACCGGUUACUCACUGAAGCUAAGCAGGGCUGAGCCUGGUCAGUACCUGCAUGGAAGACCACUAGGGAACACUAGGUUGCUGUUGGAA